CAGCACCGUGCGAAGACAUAGAAACACUGAUGUUUUGAUAAACUGAACCUGCAACAUUGCAGCCAACAAGUUGGGGUGCAGCGACAACAGAGCCACCCUGAGCCAUAAUGGAGGACGGUGGAUGGGCAGGUUGAGCCAUAAUGGAGGACGGUGGAUGAGCAGGUUGAGCCAUAAUGGAGGACGGUGGAUGAGCAGGUUGAGCCAUGAUGGAGGACGGUGUAGGGGCAGGUUGAGCCAUAAUGGAGGACGGUGGAUGAGCAGAUUGAGCCAUGAUGGAGGACGGUGUAGGGGCAGGUUGAGCCAUGAUGGAGGACGGUGUAGGGGCA